GACGAACGCUGGCGGCGUGCUUAACACAUGCAAGUCGAACGGAAGGGCCCUGCUUUUGUGGGGUGCUCGAGUGGCGAACGGGUGAGUAACACGUGAGUAACCUGCCCUUGACUUUGGGAUAACUUCAGGAAACUGGGGCUAAUACCGGAUAGGAGCUCCUGCUGCAUGGUGGGGGUUGGAAAGUUUCGGCGGUUGGGGAUGGACUCGCGGCUUAUCAGCUUGUUGGUGGGGUAGUGGCUUACCAAGGCUUUGACGGGUAGCCGGCCUGAGAGGGUGACCGGCCACAUUGGGACUGAGAUACGGCCCAGACUCCUACGGGAGGCAGCAGUGGGGAAUAUUGCACAAUGGGCGGAAGCCCGAUGCAGCAACGCCGCGUGCGGGAUGACGGCCUUCGGGUUGUAAACCGCUUUCGCCUGUGACGAAGCGUGAGUGACGGUAAUGGGUAAAGAAGCACCGGCUAACUACGUG
rnacentral:rRNA from 1 species